UGUAGCUUAGCUGGUAGAGUACUUGUCUAACACGCAUGAAGUCCUGGGUUCAAAUACCAGCA
rnacentral:tRNA from 1 species